rnacentral:ncRNA from 1 species
AUAAAAAUCUUAAAUAAGAGAAGUAACUAGGAUCAUAAAAUGACAGAAAGCUUCGUUUGAUGAGAAGAAGUAUUUUAUCCCUAGCGAAUGGACUUAUUCGAGCAUUCUUGAAUCAUAGUAGGGAAUGACGGGCACUCCCGUUAUAGAGUCAAAUCGUUGUUAGACGAUGAGAGUAUUAUUGAAUAUUUUCAAUAAUAAAGUGAGGUGGUACCGUGCUGUUUGCGCCCUCAGA